CCAGGGUGGGAAAAUUCUGGGAAACUCCUGGGAGAUUUCUCUUCCUGCUGCCUGAGGCCAGCUUCCUUCCUCGCAGAUUGCGGGGUCCCAGGCACCAAAACCAGCAGCUUCCCAGCCAGAACAGCCUGCCCUCCUCAUCCUUCUGCCAUUCACAGGGGCUGAGCUGCCCCUCGCUGCAUCACACCAAGGCAGCACCGCGUGUCCCUGCCACCAGCUCUUCCCUUUGCAGUGCGGGCACGCUUCUGUUGCACUCUGACCAAUUGUAUCUGCCUCAGUUUCCCCCUGAAUAGGGAUUUUUUUCUGUCUUAUUCUGUGAGAUCCUACACAAAUCUCCAUGUCCAGCCCUCCUAGGUGUGCCGCUCACCCCAAGUCCCACAGUCAAACCCUUGUGGGUCUGCAGACGUUGUAGGGUCGCAGGUCCCUGCCUCUUCCUCUCCCCACUCUGGAUGUGGGAUUUUCGGCUCCUGUCCUGAAGGGCUGGUAUGGUAUCUCUCACGCUUGGCUCAGGGAGCUGAAAGGUUUUUCAAUCAUCUGCUAAUGAUAGGAAAGCAAACUUUCAUUCCCUCUCUCCCCCAGUCUUGGCAGGGAAGGUGGAAUGCGGAGCGUGAGAGGAGCAGCCACCUUUCAGGCCAGCAGCUGCUUUGGGGGAUGGGGCAGAUAAAUGUGCAGGAUUUCCAAUCAGCCCUACACAUCCCGGCCAGAAGACUUCACCGAAGCACGGUGUGGGGGAAUAGCUGACUGAUAACACUGCCUUCAUCUCUGGAGAUCCCUGAGAGCUCACCUGGAGACACCCAGCUCUGCCCGCACCAAUGGAGGGGACGGCGGCGGACCCCAAACCGAGCACAAGGACACCGCUGGGCAGCAUGCGAUGGAGAAGGUAGAGAGAAAACCAGGUCAGCUUGCUUUGGAAAGAGCUGGAAGGCAGAGGGAUCUCCCCGUGGCAGGAACCAGCCCUGCUUUGAAGCACUUGCAGGCCAGGCAGCACCGAGCUGGGAAAACAAAACAAAAUCAAAGGUCCUUCUGCGUUGCCUGUGAGCCUUCCUCACCAACCAGCAUGCUCAUCCUCCCCUCACACCCCUCAACCAGCUUGCCCACCCAUACACAAGCAGCCACCAAGCAAGCCUGGGAAUCAGGAGUGAUGCGAGGCCCUGUGAAGGAACCCAAAUGCUCCAGAUUGCUUCCAAGAGGAGCAAGUGCAGCCUUCCAGCCUGCACACAAGCACCAAAGCUGCCUGCUUGUGCCGUGGUGGCCUUUAUUUUCAGCAGUCUGCGAGCUUGGGAAAACAGCAGAAGCACCCCAGACCCCAGGGCAUGAAGACUUUAAAUCGGGGACCAUCUUCUGGAGCCGUGUUUCGCAGCACCCAUCGCUGUCCAAGCCUGCCUGUCAUCCUCCCCGUUGCUUGUUUGUAUUGCAGCAGUGA
rnacentral:lncRNA from 1 species